CACGUAGGGUGCGAGCGUUGUCCGGAAUUAUUGGGCGUAAAGAGCUCGUAGGCGGUGUGUCGCGUCGGCCGUGAAAACCUGCAGCUUAACUGUGGGCUUGCGGUCGAUACGGGCAUCACUGGAGUUCGGCAGGGGAGACUGGAAUUCUUGGUGUAGCGGUGAAAUGCGUAGAUAUCAAGAGGAACACCUGAGGUGAAGACGGGUUGCUGGGCUGACACUGACGCUGGAGGCGCGAAAAGCCUAGGGUAGCAAACGGGG
rnacentral:rRNA from 1 species